UAGGGUCGCGGGCGUGCUGGAGCCUAGUGAUGGGACGAACAACACUGGUGCAUCAGCACACGAGUGAUAAACCCCGUAUUGGUGCGUGUAUCGCUUUAAGAAAAAAAAAUCACGUGACCAAUACAGGAAGUGUGUCGUUUUGAUGUGCCGCGCCAAAUUGUGUUUAUAAGGAAACAAACUGUGUCGACGUGUUGUGGAUUUGUUGGAUGGAGUUUUGCUGUUGCUGUUGCUGUUGGAUUUUCGAUUUUCGAUUUUUGCUUGCCCUCACCUUGUUCCACUGACUUCAUGGAUUGUUCCAAGAAGUUUUCCCCUGUCAGGAAUAAUGUUGAUCUUUUGACUCCAAAUAAGAACGCCUCCCCAAGUUGCUUCCCCACUGCUAAGAAUUCUGGGAACCAGGAUAGGAAUGGCGAAUACUGCUGUGAGGGAUGAAAUCAAACAAAUGCUUGUAUGAAUUCUCUUUAAGUCAUCAUGUCUCUUUCAUGAGCUUGUUUUUCUUUUUUUCUCUCCUACUCCAAAUCAUUUCCACAUGAUGGGGAGAGGGCCUGGUAUUUAUUGCUUACUGUUAAAUGCCUGCAAAUAAUUUCUUCCCCUUGAAGUGUUAAAAUGCAAAGGGCCUGUUCAUGCCUUAUGUCUGUGAAAAUAGAUACACUCGUGCGUGCGUGUCUGUGUGUGUGCGUGUGUGUGUGUGUGUGUGUGUGUGUGUGUGUGGUCUUUCCAGGUCAAGCACUAUAGCAAGGUCAUAUCACCUGACUGUGGGAGCACCAGGGAGGAUGUGCCCCACAUCCCACCCCUAAAACAACAAACAUGGCCUGUUUGCCAUCUGAAUGAGCAGAUGCUGAUGUCUAUUUCUCAGCCAAAAUUGAAAAACAAACAUCCAUUUGAAAAUAUGAUGAACUACAAAGCCUAAAUAAAUUAACAAAACCACUAUUUUUUUAAACUAUAUACAGUGGUUCCUUGAUUUACUUUAAUUGUUUCCGUGACAAAGCUCAGAACUCAGUUCACUUCAAUUAAUACUAAUUAAAUUAAUUGAAAUGCCUUUAACCCCUUUCAACUGUUACGGUCUGAGUUUUCCUUAGAUUUUUCAUAUUUUCAGUUUUGGUCAUAUUAAGGUCACGUUAUGUUUUUGGGUGUGCUUAAGCUUAUUCCUUUCUUGCCGAAGUGUUGGAAUGGGGCAGGGGGUGUUGCUGACCAUUCACAGAGCUAAAUAAGGGAACACCUGAUUCCUGAUUCGACUCAUCCACUCCUCUAGAAAAGCCUGCCACCACUUUGCCCAAAAAUUCUGUCGAGUUCAGUAGUGCUUACAUGUGUCUGCAUAGUAGUUUAUCUCCAGUGGGCUAUGGUUUUUUUUUUUUUUUUUUUAAUCAGUUUUUGCUACCUGCUACCCCAGAGCUCACUGUGGUGCCUGCUACUUCCUUGUCACCCACAGAUAAGUUCUCCUGCCUUCCUAGUUUAAUUAGAUUUUUAGCUAAAAUGGUUUGUCUCCUUCAAAUAAAUUGCUAAAGGCGA